UGACCUGAAACACACAAACAGACUCAGCUGUCAUUACACAUUAACAUAUAUAGCAGUGGCUCAGUCUAUUACCUGGAGCUGAUUUAAAGGUAACAGUGGAUCGGUCUAUUAACUAGAGAUGAUGUAACGGUAAUAAUGGAUCAGUCUUAACUAGAGAUGAUGCAACAGCAGGGCCGGCCCAAGGCAUAAGCAAACUAAGCAGCUGCUUAGGGCCCCGUGACCACUAGGGGGCCCCCAAGAGCAAUUAACUUAAGAAGAAAAAGAAAGAAAAAAGUAUUUCAUUAUUUUUUUCCAUGUGUGAGUUUCCUACUGCCUCUCUGCUCGAAAUGUCAGAUCUCUGCUAGUAACGUGUGCAGUGCACCCAACCGUGCAGUACGCACUGAGCAUCCAGGAGCCCAGGAGCAGGUGAAAGAUGUCACAAAAAAGGACUUAACGUUACCUUCAGGGGCAGAAAAAAGAAAAAGGAAGAGGAGAAAAAACAACAAGAUAAAGGAGCACUGUUAAAGUAUUUAGGAGGAGGCACUGACUCAGCCCAGGGGCAAUCCACCUCCUCAGGAGCAGCCAAGGCUGAUGAAUCAGGUCCAUCUCUAUCCUCUGCUCCAUCCACUGUGCCCACUGUCCUCUCUGCAACCUCAGCUGUAAACAGCCUUUAAUUGCUCAGUGCACUGCAGAACUUCCUGAGAUGAAUAUUUUUUUAAUAUAAGAUAGAAGAUAUAAUCAUAUGACAAGGUACAUGAUUUUAGACAAAUCCAUAUUAUUUCAAAACUUCUCAAGCAAUUUUCAGUUGUUCCACUGGCAGUUUGUUUUCUUAUUACAAGCUAUUGCUGUAGAAAAUAAGCUGCAUCAUUUUCAAGUUCUCACAUUUAGUUAAGUUAAGUAAGUGUAUUCGUAAUGACAGAGUAGAAUAAGUAGAAUACGUUUAUAGUAGGUGUGUGAAUGAUCAAUAAUCCUUAUCAUUGGCAGUAAUAGAGGGCCCCAAAAUCCAAUUUUGCUUAGGGCCCCAUGGAGGCUUGGGCCGGCCCUGUGUAACAGUAACAAUGGAUCAGUCUAUUACCUGGA